rnacentral:misc_RNA from 1 species
AGAAGCUUGAGACUAUGAAAACCGAAACCACCAAAGUCACCAUUAAGAAAUCCAAGACUAAGAAAAUAGACCGCGUUGAGACUUCCUUGAAAGAGUCUAGUCGCGAUCUCUCCCUCUUCAAGUUCAAAUCCGGAGCCGUCGUCGCGUUGGUUCUCUUCAUCGUUUUUGGACUAUUGAAUUCUUUAUUCGAAGGGAAAGUUGUCGCCAAAUUGCCGUUUAAGCCCAUAGGGAUCGUGAUGAAGAUGAGUCAUAGAGGGUUGCAAGGCGAUGACGCGACGGAUUGCUCAAUGGCGUUUUUAUAUUUCCUCUGUUCGAUUAGUAUCCGCACAAAUCUCCA